UAAGAAGAGGAUUAAGGAUUCUCAUCCUCCGAAUAAGUCAACAAAAAACAAGAGAUUUUUUGUUUCAGUAUUUGCUUCUGGUUUUGCAGACCGAGAGUGAGAUGGGACUCUUAUCACUUACAUUCCAUCCUUCUCCCGCUUUCAAUCCCUCGAUUUUUACGCUUCCUCCCCACCGCUGCCACCGCCCCUCUUCACUCGCCGUCAGAGCCACUUCCGCCGCCGGCACCCCGCAGCCUCUGCUCCAAGUCAAUGACCUGAGGGCGAAGAUCCUGGAAUCCGGCGUCGAGAUUCUCCACGGCGUCAACCUCACGGUCAACGAGGGAGAGGUUCACGCCAUCAUGGGAAAGAACGGUUCCGGGAAAAGCACUUUUGCUAAGGUUCUUGUGGGUCACCCUGAUUAUGAGGUUACUGGAGGCAGUGUUGUGUUCAAAGGGGAGAAUUUGCUUGAAAUGGAACCCGAGGAGCGGUCACUAGCUGGUCUUUUUAUGAGUUUCCAGUCCCCUGUUGAGAUUCCUGGUGUUUCUAAUGAUGAGUUUUUGGUCAUGGCAUAUAAUGCACGGAGGCGAAAGCUUGGCCUCCCUGAGCUUGGACCACUCGAGUGCUUCUCUUACCUGAUGGAGAAACUCCAGCUUGUUAACAUGAAGCCGGACUUCCUCAAUAGGAAUGUCAAUGAAGGAUUCAGUGGUGGAGAACGCAAACGCAAUGAAAUUUUGCAGCUUGCGGUUUUGGGGGCAGACUUGGCUAUUCUGGACGAAAUUGAUUCUGGAUUGGAUGUUGAUGCACUCAGAGAUGUUGCAAAUGCAGUCAAUCGUAUACGUGCCCCAAAGAAUUCUUUGAUGAUGAUAACUCACUAUCGAAGAAUACUGGAUCUUUUAAAUCCGACACAUGUCCAUGUUAUGGACAAAGGGAAAAUUGCGAGGACAGGUGACAUAUCCAUUGUAGAAACUAUUGAGACUGAGGGAUAUGAAACAGUUGCAGCUUUGACCUAAUAAAUCUUAAUCCUUUCUCUGUUCCAGUUUGCUAGAAGAUGAGCAAACCUUUUGAAGGUUGAAUCUCAUUGCAUCGACAUUAAUCUCAAUACCAUCAUCGCAGAUUAUGAGCAGAAUAAUAUUUUCUUUCAGGCACACUACUGGGUGAGUUCAGCCAUGUUGUCUUGAAAGAUGUUCUUUUCCAGGUAUGUAAGCAAUGUUAACUGAAGCGAUUGCACUUAUACUCUGCUUUCUCCUUUCAUUCUGUGUAAAGCUCGUGUUGGCUGAUGUCAUGUGUUCACCACUUAGGAUGUUAAUCUUCUGGGCAUUACCAUAGGCAUUGAUACAGAAAUACAAUAAUACUGUUAAACUAUGAUAUGAAUCUACUUAAUUCUCAACAGAGCUAUUAGCGUGGAUAUUUUGAA